UCCGGUGCGGAGGGAUUCUCUUGACUCCACGUGGAAAGCCGGCCGGGGGUCGGGUCCGGAGGGCGUAGGGGGCAUAUCCUCCCCGGAUCCCGACGGCGCCAGGCCUCGCAGGGCCGGCUGGAAGAGCCAGGGGCCAGGACCGCUGCUGCCGCCAGGGGACUAGAGACCCCGCUGGGCGCCCCUGGGUGCUGGCGGGGGCGGACCCGCGGGGCUCGGCGCGUGAGGUCGCCUGCCGCCCCUUCCUCGUCCGACCGCCGGGACGUCGCCGGCCAGAGUGACAGCGCCCGGGACCCUGGACCGAGGCGGGGGGAACAAACAGCGGGCCCGGGGCAGAGGGGCCUCCGGCAUUUGAGCUAAAACCUGAAAGAGUGUUCUGGAAGUCUUCCUUGAGGAAUCUACUCAAGAACCGGCUUCAGAAACCAAGAUAAAGAGACAUCGCCCUAAGGAUUGGUGGUUAUACUCUGAAAACAAGAGAGACCUCCAGCAUCUCCUUUUGGCCAGAUUUCUCCUCUCCAGCGUGCCCUGUAUAAGAAUUCUGGAACCCUUGACAUUUUGCCUGAGGAAAGCCACUUGAAUCCCAGUGAACAAACACAGCAGAGAAACUGAGUCUUAUUAGGAAGCACAAAAUGGCUCACAAGAGGAACAGGAAACCCGCUGACACAGUUGGGAGGAAUGUGUUUUGCUGAUGGAAUGGAGAUAAGUAGAACAGGAAGGCUGACUGCCUCCCAAAUUCGUUUGUUUAUUCAACAGGUACUUUUUGACUUUCUGCCACGUUGCAGGCGUUGUGCAAAGUUCUCCUCUAAGGAUCAGGCCGUCGGAUUUACCUCUCAGCACAGAACUAGCUUGAUCUUCCCCUUCGUGGGGACUCUGUUUCCCUCUGUACCUUCCUCCCUGUGUCACCUUCUUCUCUGUGGACCUUUUCUGUCUCAUGAGGUUAGCUGGCUUGGAUUCAACCUUGGCCCGUGAAUCUAUGAAUCUUUCCAGCUUAGGCUCUUUCUAAUAAACGUCUGUCUCAGUCAGCUAUAGCCAUGUAACAAUGUACACCAAAACUUAGUCACUUAGGACAACAGUCACCUUGUCAGUCAUGCGUCUGUGAGUCGGGCAUUGGAGUAGGGCGCAGUGGACAGUUUCUCCUCCUCAUGGUGUCAUCUGGGGCGGCUCAGCUAGGGCUGCCCUCUUCUUAGCAAUGCCAGCUCAUUAGGAAUUACUUCAACACAUCAUCUUCUUUUCCAUUGUGCUCUCCUAAAAACUUUCAGAUGAUGGCUGCCAUAGUUCCUAAAACCAACAUAAAUGAUGCUAAACCAGGGCCGGGAGCUUUGCACCAGCAUCAGGGGUCCUCUGUGUUUCUAAGAAGCCACGCAGAGAUGUUGUCCAUUCUACGCUUAGGAGACUAAGGCUGGUCUUAAAAUGUUUUAUUUUCUUUGUUUUAAGAAAGGAAGGAAAACUUCAUCUUGAGUAAACCCCAGGUUGGACAGUUAAGUCAGUCCCUUCUCUUCUCCCUGUCCCCCACUACAGCGUGAGUGAGGAUUUGUUGCUCGGGCUAGAUCUUCCUGAAACCAAAGCAUCAGUACAAAUGUAGGUGGAGCCAAACAACUAAAUGUCAAAGACGGCACAGAUAACAUACAUCAAUCACCCUUCCGACCCAGAAGACUAUUUCAGGAAACACCCACGCAGCUCAGACAGGAAAUCCCUGUGGCCUUCAGAGGCAACAGAUGCAGGGAGCAUGGCUGUCACAGGACAGGCUUGGAGAAGUGGGUCACAGCACUGCCUUAGCGCUUGUCUGCUCCCUGUGGUCCUGGCCUUCUCUAGGCCACAGCUCCCACGUCUAUCAGUGGGACACUUGAUGGUGAUGCACAAGGAUGCACAGAGAUUGUGCGCACAAAGCCCCUAGCACGGUACACAGCACCUGGCAGGUGCUCAGGAGAUGUUGGCCUCUACUGGUCCCAACUACUGGAGCAGCCCAGCCCUGCAGAGAGCUGGCCAUGUCUACUUUAUCAACCAUCAUGGAACCAGGCCCUGGUUCCUAGGGCCGUGCCCACUGGCAUUGCCCCCUGCAAAGGAGUUGUUCAUUUUUCUGCCACCCAGGGCCGUACACACCUGUGGCUCGCCCCAUUUGUACAUCACUGUCAAGUCGUUUUUACCAAGUAGAAGAUUUGAUUAAAACGCUGUCAUAUUGACUUGAUGUGUCGAAGAUAUCCACAUGCUCUAUCAUAAAUAACUCAACUUCCAGGCAAGUCCUAAAGUAAAUCUUUUUUUUUAAACUUCACACUGCCUUGACAAUUAUUUGAGUUGGUUUGUUCACGCCUUAUGAACUCUUCCAGCGUGGACCUGCACCCCCCAGAACUGAAACUUCAGCUCUUCUGGAAGUAUCUAAAAGUUGAAGGCUCUGCCAGGCCUAUCUUGGGGCUCAGCAAAAGUUAGCAGUUUAUAUUAAAACAUCCCUCAGAAUGGCAUCCUAGCUUGGAGAGGCAGGAUGAGGUUAAUAGUUGGGAAGAAAAACAGGUGCUUAAAAAAGAUGGUUUACUCUACUCCAUUUUGGUUUCUGUUGUGUGUGAUUUUGCUAUGUCACUUACUCCUAAAACCCUAAAAAUAAACGUUGUAUUUAAUAUUAGUCCACUUAAACUAUUUCUGGCUGGACACGGUAGAUUGUGCAGAAAUCCACGCUUGCCAUUUCAGAAACUGUUCGUUGAUCUAAAGGUUAAAGGCGGAAGUGGUUUCUGUAGGGUCCGGGAUAUAUAUAUAUAUACAUAUAUACUGACUGCUCAGUCCAGGUGAGCUCUGUUUAUGAAAAUACGCUUCGUUUUCCCCUCUGAUGACAGCAACAGAAAACAGAAAAAUUUGGAGUAGCAACGCGUGCUCAAGUAAUGUCUGAUUCUUAUUGUUUUAUUUUCCACACUAUGUUCUACAGCUAGAGUCCUGACGACUAUAGCACUGAAACCCUGAAAGUUUAUCUUUUAUUAUUUCAGUUUAGUCACCCAAAAUUACUUGAUGCUUCAGGUGGCCAGUCAUGCAAGAAUUCACGCUUGAGUACUUCAGAGACUGUCCCAUGGUCUAAAGGUUCAACUCAGGAUGUGGUUUCCACUCUGAAACAGGUCCCAGCUGCCACUCACUUUACUUUUAUAAUUUAUUUUAUCUCUUUCAAAGUUACAUGCACCUUAAAAAGUCAAAAGUUGUACAAUGGGAAAGCUCACCAUGAAAAGCAGCGGCUCCCUUGCCUCUUCUCUGAAGCACCCCGCUCACCAUUGCCCAGAAGCCCCCACUUCUAGCUCCUUCAGUGUUUCUUCUGCCUGUUACCUCUAUAUUUCUGAACAAUAUGCUUAUACUGCUAUUUCUGGAUUUUUCCAUUGCCUGGCUACCCUGGAAGGCUAAGAUUUCCCUCUGCUAUCUCCUCCCCACCCCACAUACUUAGCUUCCCAACAGAGCUGUAUCACAAGUCUUGGUGAAAUCACUAUUUAGUAUUAAAUAUUCGUUAUUACAACUAUGUAUAUACUGUACCAUGAUGCCAUUUCUAGUGCAACUUUCUGUUACCACUAAGUUAAUAAUUUGCUGAUUUUUCUCAGUACCUAUCCCUAAUUCAUCCUAAAUUGCCAACUGACGUGGAAAUUGCUUCUCAAAACAUUCAAACCCAUAAGGACGCCUCUCAGCUUCAUUUUGUCUUGCCUCUCUCCCUCCUGGGGUCCUCCUGCUUCUAAUUACUGUCUUCCUUAGAACUUUUGAUGGUUUCUUUCUUGCUAUAAGAAAUCGGAAUUUAUUUUAGAAAUUGGUAGAGAUAAAAAUAAAAAGGUAUUUUAGGCUAGUUUCCUCAGGACCCUGAGCAUUCAGACAUGAGUAAAUCCUGCUUCCUGCCCCAGCAAACUCGGCCUGGACAGGAAAACCUACAAAACAGAAAGAUGCGAGGACACUUACAGACGCUGGGGAUACGAUAAGAGGUCACCCCAGGGAGGACAGCAUGGGGUGCUGGGACCCUGCCUGCCUGCCUUUGGAAUCAGGCAGACCCAGGUUUGAAUCCUGAUUCUGCCCCUUGUGGGACCUCAGCAGCCAACCUAACCCCCAGGACGUCAGUUUAUUUCUCUGUGAAAUACAGAUUCCACUCACCCUUCAGGACGGUGCAUAGAGCAUAUGAGAGAAGAGGGGAGAGCUCUUACACCACGCUAGACCCUUGAAAUGACAGUGCCCUUCCGACUCAACUGCCACAGUGACAGAAGCACUCUCCAAAUACAAUCCUAAGGCCACUUACCUUAGGAUUUGUGCCACUCGUAUGGCAAAUGUCUUCCAAAAAAUCACCGUCAAUUUUUUGUACUUUUACAGUUUUGUAACUAUGGGGGUAAAAAGUUCAAUUUUACUGGAAGGUAAUAACUUCAUUCCAGUUCGUGCCCAUCUCAGAGCUCGACUCAAGUCCUGCAUGGCAGAAACUCCUCAUAGCGGUUGUGAGAAGCAACGCCCCAGUGAAAAUUCUGAUGUUUCGUAUUGUAAGAGAAGGAUAUGCUUUCAUUCAGCCAUCACUUGGUAAUACUUGAAAGCUAAAGGGACAGUUUGAAAAGGGUGACAACCUCAGCUGGGCUCUUCACCACCUGAGGGGCUCAGGCUGCUCACCCUCCUGCUUUUCCUCCCAAAGUCUUGACUGUUUGUCAGCAGAGGAUGGUCACGUUCUCGUCACAUCUUUGCACGGAGUCAUUUUGAGUCACCUCCCAGCUCCUGAAGUUUUAAAACACUUUGAACGCCUUCAACGGUUUGGAAAUCGAUCCUGUUUUCAGUGGUAUUCGCUCUUUCCCAGGGUGGUUUUAGCGGCUCAAGACAUUCAGUAAAAGGAGCUGAGAACCAUUCCCAAGUUUGCAUUAAUCUAUUCAAAUGAUGCUUGUUGAAAUAUGCACUGCCUGUUAACCUCUCAAGAGCUCCUAGUUACAGAUAGCAUGUUAAUUAUAUUCUCCACCUGCCACUGACAAUAUAUAAGGAUAAUCUGCUCCCACAAAGGUCGUUUCCACUGAGCUAUUAGGACUUUAUUAACUAAGUUAAGCGUGGUUUGCUGGGACACUGUUGAAUGUAACCAGAUCAUUAUUUGUGCAGCUCGAUAUGUAGCACCCUCUGCAGACAGCUACGGAGUAGCAAUGCCAGUAAUACCAACUGUGUCUUCAUUUGAUUUUCUGUCCUUUUAAAUUUAUGGAAUGAAUAAAUAUGUUCUAUUUGUAAACCCAAACUAGGGGCCAGCCUGGUGGCAUAGUGGUUAAGUUCACAC